rnacentral:rRNA from 1 species
UGGGGAAUAUUGGGCAAUGGAGGCAACUCUGACCCAGCAACGCCGCGUGAAGGAUGAAGGUUUUCGGAUUGUAAACUUCUGUCGCAGAGGACGAAGAAUGACGGUACUCUGUAAGAAAGCCACGGCAAACUACGUGCCAGCAGCCGCGGUAAUACGUAGGUGGCGAGCGUUGUCCGGAAUGACUGGGUGUAAAGGGAGUGUAGGCGGUUGGGUAAGUUAUAUGUGAAAGCCCCGGGCUUAACUUGGGAACUGCAUAUAAGACUGCCUGACUAGAGUGUGGGAGAGGUAAGUGGAAUUCCUAGUGUAGCGGUGGAAUGCGUAGAUAUUAGGAGGAACACCAGUGGCGAAGGCGGCUUACUGGACCAUAACUGACGCUGAGACUCGAAAGCGUGGGGAGCAAACA